GAUGAACGCUGGCGGCGUGCCUAAUACAUGCAAGUCGAGCGAACGGACGAUAAGCUUGCUUCUCUGAGGUUAGCGGCUGACGGGUGAGUAACACGUGGAUAACCUACCUAUAUGACUGGGAUAACUUCGGGAAACCGUAGCUAAUACCGGAUAAUAUUUUGAACCGCAUGGUUCAAAAGUGAAAGACGCUCUUGCUGUCACUUAUAGCUGGUUCCGCGCUGCAUUAGCUAGUUGGUAAGGUAACGGCCUACCAAGGCAACGAUGCAUAGCCGACCUGAGAGGAUGAUCGGCCACACUGGAACUGAGACACGGUCCAGACUCCUACGGGAGGCAGCAGUAGGGAAUCUUCCGCAAUGGGCGAAAGCCUGACGGAGCCACGCCGCGUGAGUGAUGAAGGUCUUCGGAUCGUAAAGCUCUGUUAUUAGGGAAGAACAUAUGUGUAAGUAACUGUGCACAUCUUGACGGUACCCAAACAGAAAGCCACGGCUAACUACGUG
rnacentral:rRNA from 1 species